CAGAGGUCCCAAGCGUUGUUCGGAUUCACUGGGCGUAAAGGGUGCGUAGGUGGUUGGGUAAGUUUGAUGUGAAAUCUCCGGGCUUAACCCGGAAACUGCAUUGAAUACUAUUUGACUAGAGGGUUGGAGGGGGGACUGGAAUACUUGGUGUAGCAGUGAAAUGCGUAGAUAUCAAGUGGAACACCAGUGGCGAAGGCGAGUCCCUGGACAACUCCUGACACUGAGGCACGAAAGCUAGGGGAGCAAACAGGAUUAGAUACCCUGGUAGUCCUAGCUGUAAACGGUGCGUAUUUGCUGUAAAAGGAAUCGACCCCUUUUGUGGCGUAGCUAACGCGAUAAAUACGCCGCCUGGGGAAGUACGGUCGCAAGAUUA
rnacentral:rRNA from 1 species